AACAGUGAUAUUAGGAGAAACACUUGAAAAGUGAUCCAAAUUGAACCACUGAUUUAGACAUUCCCAGAGGGGUUUGGUAAGCUGUGUCAUGCUCCACUGAAUAUUAAAGGCAAGCCCUGGAUUUUGUAUUUACAGAACACUAUUUUGAGCAGAAAGUUUGUUAGCAUCUGUACAAGUGAUGGAGACACUCUCUGCUCUCCUCAAUCUUUCAAACAGUGUGUGCUGAGAAACAAAAUUUUUAGACCACCAUUCUGAUAAAACUUCCAUUUUUUUCUCUUUUCCUGUUUUGCUAUCAUGCUGUACAUCUCUUCUCCAGUAGUUUGCAUCACGCAAUUUUUCAUGCCAAACAGUCUGUGGGGUUUGUACUGUUGGGUUUGCUGGGUAAUAAGUCAAAGCAUAUAUUUAACAUCUCAUCCUGUGAAACCUGCUUGUCCACAGGAUGCUAGGCCUUCAUUUCCCCCAAAAUUUUCCACUGGUGCUUCUGAGAUCAAGCACACGAAUAACAGAAAAUUAAGAGCUGUGCAGUGUGCAAGCUGCCUUAGGAAUAGUCUAUGUAGUCUAAUAUUUUGCUGUCUGAAUGAAUAAUGGCUAUCACUGCUGCAGGGUCUGUGAACUAAGCCCUGGGGGCUGUGGCCAUGCCUGGUUUGUCAGAAUGCAUUUUAGUAGCCAGCAGCUCCUGCUUUUAGCUGCUGGGAAAUCUGGCUGCCAGUCUCUAAGCUCUAAGGGAAGCCACAGGGAGGAGAUCUUUAUGUGUUCUCUAGGCAUGGCCAAGACUCUUAAAUUUUACCCUACAGCUCAGACUCCAGCAGAUGCACACAGGAGAUGAGAGCUGGGAGACAGCUCUGUUUUUAAAAUACAAACAGGCAUACCAGUCAUACCCAGGUAAGAAUAAGUGUUUUGUUUUGUGGUUUUUCAGGAUUCCUAUAAAGACUCCCAUGCAAGAGAAGGGGAAUAAACCUAGAUAUGUUUACUUCUUCCUCUUAUAAAACCUAUAAUGACUGAAAGAUGUGUAUCAUUUUAAGGUUAUCAAAAUAAAAUGUAUGAUAUGCUGAUCCAGUUGUGGUAAAAUUUUCACUGAAUUAAUUGAAGCCAAUAUUUUAUCUAAGGCAGAGUGUGGAGGAUGAACAAAGAACUCAUCAUUCCCUCUACUGAUGGAAAUAAACACAUCACAAUGUGCUAGUACAUGAUUAUCAGGUAAUAAACCCACGACUAUAAAGAUGGGGCUUUCUAAUUAGACUAGGGAGAAUAUAAAUAUAGCAGCACGUUGCAGCUUUUCUAGCUUUCCUAGACUGAACAGCUACCUGUAAAUAUGAGAGAAUGUGUGGAGAAAGGUCUGAACUACAGUAUACCAUUACAGUGGUGAAAAAACCAACUGCCACUGCAGUUCCUUCCCAUUUCUAUCUCAGCAUUUAUUUCUGGAACAUUGUAAGGAACAGUGGGCAGUACUCCUGUGGCCUGAUGGACAGCAAAGUUGAGUUUUUAGUUCUCAGUAGCCAUGGUCUCAUGACUUCUACCAUGCUGUGGGAUAGGCAGAAUUAUUUUCACACUUGUGAAUUUGAGUUGAUCAGAAAGUUAGGAUUUUAUUUUAUACUAACUACAGAAGAACAGGAAGGGGGGAAUUUUCUGAAGGCAUUUCUUCUGAAUGGCCUUUAUUUGUUUCCUUCUGUCAUUGUUGGCCCUAACUCGUAUCAGCCCUUAUUCUACAAUCUUCAUGCAUUUCUGGUAUCAUCUAAUGCCACAGAAGCUGGUCUGAAACAGAUUUUUAAUGUUUAGUUUGAGUACUGGUUGCAGAACUGUCCUUUUUUUACAUAGGUAUUUGGUAUUGAAUAUUCCUCUGAUUCUGAAAUUAGGUCUUCCAGAAAAAUAGAAAGGAAAAUGUUCAUUAUUGACCAUGCAUCAUAAAAGUCCUCUGCAUAUCAAUUAUAUUGGCUUUGGCUUUUUAUGCAUUAGCAAAUCCCGUUGCAGGUGUAGAGUGUUAUUGAAUAGGGACAAUUUUACUGACUUCAGUCAAAGCAUUACCAGACUCAUUUUCUGAUGUGGACAGAAAAAUAAAAAAAAAAAAUUUGGAGACCCCUACCAUUUAUAUAAUGAGAUCAUUUUAAACCUGUUGUCUUAUCAUCUUAAAAUAAAUUCUCUUCCAUAAAAGAGAUAUAAAAGAGAUGUAGGAGAGUGUUACAGAAGCCUGCCUCAUCUUUUAACUUCUCAUAAGCUGCAGACACUGAAUUUGCCAAAAAUCUUGCCUUAAACCUGUGUUAUUUGGAUAGUAUUUUUAGAAAUAAAAGACCAGUUUUAAAGUUGCAACAUAGUUAUUUUAAGACAUAUAGCUCAGUGGAGGAAUAUCCACCUUCGAUAUCAUCAGAUUUCUGCUGAAUAAUGAGUGACACCAGUACCUGACAUCCUAAUGGAUAAAAUUAGACAUCUUAAACCUCACAGGUCUAUCUCAAUUUCCCAGUUUGGUCCUAAUUUUUGUAUACUAUGUUAAUUUGUUUCAGGUCAGUUUAAUUUAAAGAAAAUGAUGUAAAGAAAUGUUGUUUCUUUCUGCAGCUAUGCAGAUAUCCAGUAAAUACACCCAGGCUCUCCUCUACCAGGGUCCAAAUUUCCUGUUCAUCAUGUUUCAGCAGUUGUGAAACAAGCUUCCCUGUGGACUGCAAGCUUUCCAUCCUUUCCAUACGUGGCUACUCCAAUAAAACAAGGUCUGCUUCUGGACUGUUCCACAAGUAACCUGGGCUUUGCUUCUCAGAAUAACACAGGCAGGUGCUUGACACCAAUAGAUCUGCAGUCAUGGUGUUUAGUGGAAUUUGAAUAGGUGCUCAUGUGCCUUGGACAAGAGAGAAUGAAACACAUGCAAUCAAAGAAGAGCAUUUCCAGAAGCCAGGGAGCUGAGGAAAAAGCUCUGGCAUUGCCAGUCGAGGAUGCUCAAGAUAUCAGCAAGUUUUGUCUCUGGAAUUAAGGUACACAUUGACUCCAAGCCUAUGGGAUAUGCCUGUCGCUGCUCCAGCACCACCUACUAAAUACAUUUCUUGGAAGGAGAUAAGCUCAUUAUAAAAAAAUUGUAUCCUCCCCAGAAUAUCCUUUUUCACAGGGAUUUCACA